rnacentral:rRNA from 1 species
UACGAAAGGAGCAGGUGUUAUUCAGAUUAACUGGGCGUAAAGGGUGCGUAGGUGGCGCCGUAAGUCAGGUGUGAAAUUUCGAAGCUUAACUCCGAAACUGCAUUUGAUACUGCGGUGCUUGAGGACUGGAGAGGAGACUGGAAUUUACGGUGUAGCAGUGAAAUGCGUAGAGAUCGUAAGGAAGACCAGUGGCGAAGGCGGGUCUCUGGACAGUUCCUGACACUGAGGCACGAAGGCCAGGGGAGCAAACGGG